AUUGAACGCUGGCGGCAUGCCUUACACAUGCAAGUCGAACGGCAGCACGGGAGCAAUCCUGGUGGCGAGUGGCGAACGGGUGAGUAAUAUAUCGGAACGUGCCCAGUCGUGGGGAUAACGUAGCGAAAGUUACGCUAAUACCGCAUACGAUCUACGGAUGAAAGCGGGGGAUCGCAAGACCUCGCGCGAUUGGAGCGGCCGAUAUCAGAUUAGGUAGUUGGUGAGGUAAAGGCUCACCAAGCCGACGAUCUGUAGCUGGUCUGAGAGGACGACCAGCCACACUGGGACUGAGACACGGCCCAGACUCCUACGGGAGGCAGCAGUGGGGAAUUUUGGACAAUGGGCGCAAGCCUGAUCCAGCAAUGCCGCGUGCAGGAUGAAGGCCU
rnacentral:rRNA from 1 species